UACGGAGGAUGCAAGCGUUAUCCGGAAUCAUUGGGCGUAAAGAGUCCGUAGGUGGCACUUCAAGUCGACUUUCAAAGACCGAAGCUCAACUUCGGAAAGGGAGUGGAAACUGAAGAGCUAGAGUAUAGUAGGGGUAGAGGGAAUUCCUAGUGUAGCGGUGAAAUGCGUAGAGAUUAGGAAGAACACCAGUGGCGAAGGCGCUCUACUGGGCAUAUACUGACACUGAGGGACGAAAGCUAGGGUAGCGAAAGGG
rnacentral:rRNA from 1 species